rnacentral:lncRNA from 1 species
CCUGGUUGAACUAGAUUUGAACCAGUACUUGGGUUAACUGUAGAAUCAGCACUUGUCCUCCCCUCUUGUUGCGCUUUCAAUUGCAAAUAUCUAGCCUAAUCGCUAGGGUGUAAUCUUAUAUGUUUAACUAAACUACCCGUGCCGCUACGAUCUCCAGUAUACCUAUGAACAAGUAAUUUCCCACAAGAUUUACACUUAGCCUUGUUUUGUUAUCUUAGUUGAAUAAAAAAGUGCCAAGCUAAUGAUGUUUCUGUACGUUUAGGAGAUUGUCUACUAAAAGUGGGAGCUUGUACGGGUGGGUGUGCCGGUUCAUCACCUAAGUUAUGAGCAGGACUAGUAGGUGUAUCAUCUAAAUCUACUGGAGCUUGGGUUUCAUCAUCAUCGUCNN